rnacentral:rRNA from 1 species
UACGAAGGGGGCUAGCGUUGUUCGGAAUCACUGGGCGUAAAGCGCACGUAGGCGGACUUUUAAGUCAGGGGUGAAAUCCCGAGGCUCAACCUCGGAACUGCCUUUGAUACUGGGAGUCUUGAGUGUGGUAGAGGUAGGUGGAACAGCAAGUGUAGAGGUGAAAUUCGUAGAUAUUUGCUAGAACACCAGUGGCGAAGGCGGCCUACUGGACCACAACUGACGCUGAGGUGCGAAAGCGUGGGGAGCAAACAGG